CGUUCUUGAGUCAUCUUCUGUACUCUGUCGCUGUCCUACACUUUAACUACAGUGUACAGAAGAUGACCCAAGAACCUUCUGUAGAUGGCUUGAGAUAUACUCGCAACAUAAAAAUAUGCCAUUGAGGGUACUGUUAUCUUUACAUUGGUCACAGGUGUAAUUCACAAAAAUUCAGAGAAAUGGAAUGGUAAAGUUAACUACCAUGUGUUAUUUCUUUAGGAUGCAGCAGAGCCCCAACUUUCCACUGAGUUUCCUGAGACCGCCAUGUUCACGAACCAAGACAAAGACUCAACGCGCUCCCAAAGCAUUUCCCAGGAUGCAGCAGAGCCCCAACUUUCCACUGAGUUUCCUGAGACCGCCAUGUUCACGAACCAAGACAAAGACUCAACGCGCUCCCAAAGCAUUUCCCAGGUAACUUAAUUUAUUUCACAGUGGGUCAUAUUACUGUCUAUUGAAAUGCUUGCGUUAGCGUUUUAGCUGCCUGAUUUUACACAGGUAAACACAUGUCACGACCGCUGUUCUUGUGGGAACCACAGCAUUUACUCUAAACAUUAGUCAUUGGUAUGAACUCUACUGCACACAAACGACAGGUUUUACCCCACUAUCGAGGUCCAGUUAACACACGUCAGGACCACUGUUCUUGUGGGGACCACAGCAUUUACUCUAAACAUUAGUCAUUGGUAUGAACUCUACUGCACACAAACGACAG
rnacentral:lncRNA from 1 species